UACGUAGGGACCUAGCGUUGUCCGGAAUCAUUGGGCGUAAAGCGCGCGCAGGCGGCCCGGUAAGUCCGUUGUAAAAGUCGAAGGCUCAACCUUCGAAAGCCGAUGGAUACUGAAGGGCUGGAGUACCGGAGAGGAGGGUGGAAUUCCUGGUGUAGCGGUGAAAUGCGCAGAUAUCAGGAGGAACACCGGUGGCGAAGGCGGUUCUCUGGGACGGUACUGACGCUGAGACGCGAAAGCGUGGGGAGCAAACAGG
rnacentral:rRNA from 1 species